UCUUCUAUGGAUGCAGAGAAUAUUUCCAUAAACUAUUAAUUCAGGGUGAUUCUUCUGGAAGGUUGAAUAUUUGGAACAUAUCAGACACAGCUGAUAAACAGGAAAGUGAAGAAGGGCUGGCAAUGACAACUUCUAUUAGUUUGCAAGAGGCAUUUGAUAAACUGAAUCCUUGUCCUGCUGGAAUUAUAGAUCAGCUGAGUGUGAUUCCCAAUAGUAAUGAACCUCUUAAAGUAACUGCAAGUGUGUACAUACCAGCACAUGGACGACUUGUUUGUGGUCGUGAAGAUGGAAGCAUAGUUAUUGUACCUGCCACACAGACGGCCAUAGUACAGCUGUUGCAAGGGGAACACAUGCUCAGAAGAGGUUGGCCACCUCACAGAACACUCCGUGGUCAUCGGAACAAAGUCACAUGUUUGCUAUAUCCUCAUCAGGUCUCAGCUCGGUAUGAUCAAAGAUACCUGAUAUCUGGAGGUGUGGAUUUUUCAGUCAUAAUUUGGGACAUAUUUUCUGGAGAAAUGAAACAUAUCUUCUGUGUUCAUGGUGGUGAGAUUACUCAACUUCUAGUUCCACCUGAAAACUGUAGUGUAAGUUGAUUUAUAUAAAAUAUUAUUUCACUA
rnacentral:sRNA from 1 species